UCGAUUUGAAGGUUGUAGACUUUGAUCUGUGACUUUCGGAGCUAACGCGUUAAAUCGACCGCCUGGGGAGUACGACCGCAAGGUUAAAACUCAAAUGAAUUGACGGGGGCCCGCACAAGCGGUGGAGCAUGUGGUUUAAUUCGAUGCAACACGAAGAACCUUACCUACUCUUGACAUCCAAAGAAUCACAUAGAAAUAUGAGAGUGCCUUCGGGAACUUUGAGACAGGUGCUGCAUGGCUGUCGUCAGCUCGUGUUGUGAAAUGUUGGGUUAAGUCCCGCAACGAGCGCAACCCUUAUCCUUUGUUGCCAACGAGUGAAGUCGGGAACUCAAAGGAGACUGCCGGUGAUAAACCGGAGGAAGGUGAGGAUGACGUCAAGUCCUCAUGGCCCUUAUGAGUAGGGCUACAAACGUGCUACAAUGGCGUAUACAAAGAGAAGCGAUCUCGCGAGAGUUAGCAAAUCUAAUAAAGUACGUCUUAGUCCGGAUUGGAGUCUGCAACUCGACUCCAUGAAGUCGGAAUCGCUAGUAAUCGUGGAUCAGAAUGUCACGGUGAAUACGUUCCCGGGCC
rnacentral:rRNA from 1 species